GGCGGGGUAGCUCAGAUGGUUAGAGCGUCGGAUUCAUAACCCGGAGGUCACGAGUUCAACUCUCGUUCCCGCCA
rnacentral:tRNA from 1 species